rnacentral:piRNA from 1 species
CCAAGUGACGAGUGACAUAGGCACCC